rnacentral:rRNA from 1 species
AUGGUUGUGGUUUUCCUUCUAAAAAGGAGAAAAUAUCCUAUCUCACCAUGCUUUGCUAUGACAAUAAACAAAAGGCAGGAGCACUCUCCAAACAAGGUUGGACUAUAUAUACAUGAACAAGUCUUUACACAUGGACAUUUAUACGUACCAUUCUCGAGAGUCAGAAAAAGGGAUGGACUGCAAGUGAUGGUAACUGAUGAAGAUAACAAUAAGAAUGUUGGGGUCAAGAACAUAAUGUACAAAGAAUCUACUAUAUAUUAA